AUCCAAUCAAUGUGCUCCUUGUUGGACCGCCCUUUCCUCUAGUUUGCUCUGUUAGAGAUCUCCCGAUACUCUCCGACCCAGCUCUCCCGCUCCCGCUCCCGCUUCCGCUCCGAUGGGGAGCCUGAACCGGAGCCGCACCCUCUUCUCCACUGCCGGUGGCGGGCCCCACCACCACCCCCUCCCUCUCUUCACGAGGGCCCAUCAGAUCGGCGCCCUCGCCCUCGUCGUCGCCACCUUACUUCUUACCCGCGCCGUCGACCGCCUCUCCUGUCCCCUCCCCUCCCCUCCCCUCUCGGCCGGCUCCGCUGCAG
rnacentral:lncRNA from 1 species